UACGUAGGGUGCAAGCGUUUGUCCGGAAUUAUUGGGCGUAAAGAGCUCGUAGGUGGUUUGUCGCGUUGUCCGUGAAAACUCACAACUCAAUUGUGGGCGUGCGGGCGAUACGGGCAGACUGGAGUACUGCAGGGGAGACUGGAAUUCCUGGUGUAGCGGUGGAAUGCGCAGAUAUCAGGAGGAACACCGGUGGCGAAGGCGGGUCUCUGGGCAGUAACUGACGCUGAGGAGCGAAAGCGUGGGGAGCGAACGGG
rnacentral:rRNA from 1 species